rnacentral:lncRNA from 7 species
AGUGCAGUGUACUCCGAGCAGUACUCAGUGCUCUGUUUUGAGGAUUACUUACAGACUACACAGUGCUGUGACCUAGAUGUUCCAAGAAUAAGAGCAUGCAGUUGAGAUCUUGUUAUUUUCAAGGUUCCCAAAGGACCUAUUAACAGCAGACUUUUAUGGAACGUGGUUAAUGGUUAAACUGGUGAAAAUAACUGCACAAGUUAUACCUUUCAAGAUAAGAAGAGAAAUAUGGUAUUGAUUUGCCUAGUAAAAGGGACACCCUCAAACACGCGGAAUCCAUCUCUGCUUGUCACUCAGUGCUGCUCUGCCUUUUGGACAAGGCUGCUUGUAUGUGUGAAGUUAUUCAGCAAAAACAUAUUGCCAAGCCUGAAGAUUAGAGCCAGCUUCAGAAAGCCAUUUAACAAAGAGCUGGAAAGAAGCAGCAUCUCUACAUGGACUUAUCAGGAAGCUUAUGCAUCAGAUACUCAAUGCAAGUGCUAAGCAAGGAGGCAGUGUUGACUGAACAGCCACAGUAAGCACUGUAGGGAAAAACCUGCAGCUGAGGCUGGAUACUUUGUUCUGGUAUCUGAGUUCAAGGAGUGGAUACACUGAAAGAACAUCAGAGAAAAUUACUCAGUUCUCCAGGGGCAUCACUUCAGAAGUGCUGGAAGAAUGCAUUGCAGGGAGUUCUCUUGAGAUGGGUGACACUGUAGUUAAGGAAACAGGGAAUGGAGACCCUACAGGUUUCCAGCUGAAAUAUUGCUCAGAAGAUGGAAUGUCACUACAAAUCCUGGUCUCUAAUCAGCGCUCUUUUUUCUCUCUCACUUGAAUAAUUUAGUUACUAAGAAAUUAAGUUUAAUUUAACAUGCAGUUUGCCUAAAAUCCUCCUUGCUUUAUUUUCUUUCUUAAGAUAGAUAUGUGCAGAGGCUGAGGGCAUUGGGUUGCAUAUCCAAGUAUAAUAUGAGGUACCCUAAUCAAACUUACUGAUAUGAUGAUCCGUGCUAGUAACUGACAUUUCAAACUUUCAGAACAUCUUAAAACUUUCUCUGCUAUCUGCAGUUUCCUGCAGAAAGAAAAAGCCAAGGGUUCCAACUCACCAUUAGGUGGUGCCCCUGUCAUUCAUUU